rnacentral:rRNA from 1 species
UACGUAGGGACCAAGCGUUGUUCGGAUUUACUGGGCGUAAAGGGCGCGUAGGCGGCAAUUCAAGUCAGCUGUGAAAUCUCCGGGCUUAACUCGGAACGGUCAGCUGAUACUGCUUUGCUAGAGUGCAGAAGGGGCAAUCGGAAUUCUUGGUGUAGCGGUGAAAUGCGUAGAUAUCAAGAGGAACACCUGAGGUGAAGACGGGUUGCUGGGCUGACACUGACGCUGAGGCGCGAAAGCUAGGGUAGCAAGCGGG